GGUGUUUUAUUUCUAAAGUUGGAUGUGGGCAACUUGUGUUGCAAGCUUACAGUUUUAGCCCAAAAGUUAUGAACCAAUCUUCUUGCUGUGAGCUGUGACACUAACAUCUUACCUGAUGGUAGAUUUCAAUGAAUUGCAGUUGUGAUGGGGUCUGUGAAGGACAAUUCAUAUUUCAGUCAGGCUGUGUUGCUUUUGCUGGUAGCUAAUCUUAUCCCUUUCCAAAGUUGAUUGAUUUCAGUGAUGCUGUCUUUAGGAGGGAGAGUUCCAAAAUGAAGCGCGAAGUUCUCUUCAAACGGAUCUUGAUUCUUGAUCAUUCGAGUUGCGAAGUUUCUUGAGAGGGGUAUUGUCUGUGCAAAUGCAGCUUCACUCGCUCGGCGAACCGCCAUGAUGGCGCUCCAACGGGUGCAUGUGUGGUGUGGUGGCCCUUUCAGCCCGUGCUGUGCCUUCACCUUCCAAACGUCACUCAAACGUGACUCCAGGUAAAGAUCUUUGCAUCCAGCACAUGGCUGACCACUGGUGAGCCGUGUGGACGUACUGACGUACAUGCUGAGCUGCUGACAUUUGCAACUCAACUUGAAGCUUCUGUGAGUGUAGCAAUUCACCAAUUCGCUGCUUCCUCAGUGCACGAAUGAUUCCGUGUGUAUAAACAUUCUUCUGCAAAGCUGCUUCUUUGGUCAGGACGGAAUGGUAGGCAUGCUUCAGACUAUGAUAAUGAGAACUGAAAAGGCCCUCUCACCGACCGUUGGCACUUGGCAUUGGCAGGAUCGAUCGUGUGGGGGUUUUUGUUGAUACACCAAGCUAGUAUACAUCUGGUCCAUUUACAGGGCCCACCUGGCACUGCAUGGUCUACUUUGAGCAGCAUUGCGAGUGGUGGCCUGACAUCCUCAACGAGACACGAUAUCUGGUUGUUGAGCGUUGUUUUCUGGCGCUUAAUCGAAUAAACUUGUUUC